CAUGCAAGUCGAACGCUUCUUUUUCCACCGGAGCUUGCUCCACCGNGAAAAAGAGGAGUGGCGAACGGGUGAGUAACACGUGGGUAACCUGCCCAUCAGAAGGGGAUAACACUUGGAAACAGGUGCUAAUACCGUAUAACAAUCAAAACCGCAUGGUUUUGAUUUGAAAGGCGCUUUCGGGUGUCGCUGAUGGAUGGACCCGCGGUGCAUUAGCUAGUUGGUGAGGUAACGGCUCACCAAGGCCACGAUGCAUAGCCGACCUGAGAGGGUGAUCGGCCACAUUGGGACUGAGACACGGCCCAAACUCCUACGGGAGGCAGCAGUAGGGAAUCUUCGGCAAUGGACGAAAGUCUGACCGAGCAACGCCGCGUGAGUGAAGAAGGUUUUCGGAUCGUAAAACUCUGUUGUUAGAGAAGAACAAGGAUGAGAGUAACUGUUCAUCCCUUGACGGUAUCUAACCAGAAAGCCACGGCUAACUACGUGCCAGCAGCCGCGGUAAUACGUAGGUGGCAAGCGUUGUCCGGAUUUAUUGGGCGUAAAGCGAGCGCAGGCGGUUUCUUAAGUCUGAUGUGAAAGCCCCCGGCUCAACCGGGGAGGGUCAUUGGAAACUGGGAGACUUGAGUGCAGAAGAGGAGAGUGGAAUUCCAUGUGUAGCGGUGAAAUGCGUAGAUAUAUGGAGGAACACCAGUGGCGAAGGCGGCUCUCUGGUCUGUAACUGACGCUGAGGCUCGAAAGCGUGGGGAGCAAACAGG
rnacentral:rRNA from 1 species